rnacentral:tRNA from 3 species
AGCUCAGUUGGCCAGAGCACGUGAUUUGUAAUCUCGGGGUCGUUGGUUCGAAUCCGACAAGAG